CACGUAGGGCGCAAGCGUUGUCCGGAAUUAUUGGGCGUAAAGAGCUCGUAGGCGGUCUGUUGCGUCCGCUGUGAAAACCCAGGGCUUAACCCUGGGCUGGCGGUGGAUACGGACAGACUAGAGGUAGGUAGGGGAGAAUGGAAUUCCCGGUGUAGCGGUGAAAUGCGCAGAUAUCGGGAGGAACACCGGUGGCGAAGGCGGUUCUCUGGGCCUUACCUGACGCUGAGGAGCGAAAGCGUGGGGAGCGAACAGG
rnacentral:rRNA from 1 species